rnacentral:rRNA from 1 species
CCUACGGGCGGCAGCAGUGAGGAAUAUUGGUCAAUGGCCGGAAGGCUGAACCAGCCAAGCCGCGUGAAGGACGAAGGUGCCAAGCAUUGUAAACUUCUUUUGUCAAGGGACAAAAUCAGGCUCGAGAGCCUGACCGAGGGUACUUGAAGAAAAAGCAUCGGCUAACUCCGUGCCAGCAGCCGCGAUAAUACGGAGGAUGCGAGCGUUAUCCGGAUUUAGUGGGUUUAAAGGGUGCGUAGGCGGACUGUUAAGUCAGCGGUAAAAGCCCGGGGCUCAACCCCGGCGAGCCGUUGAAAAUGGGUGUCUUGAGAUGUCGAGAGGUAUGCGGAAUGCGCGGUGUAGCGGUGAAAUGCGUAGAUAUUGCGCAGAACUCCGAUUGCGAAGGCAGCAUACCGGCGGCGAUCUGACGCUGAGGCACGAAAGCGUGGGUAUCGAACAGGAUUAGAUACCCGUGUAGUC